GAUGAAGAACGUAGCGAAAUGCGAUAAGUAAUGUGAAUUGCAGAAUUCAGUGAAUCAUCGAAUCUUUGAACGCACCUUGCGCCCUUUGGCUAUUCUGAAGGGCAUGCCUGUUUGAGUAUCAUGAACACCUCAACUCUCAUGGUUUGCCAUGAUGAGCUUGGACUUUGGGGGUCUUGCUGGCCUACGGUCGGCUCCUCUCAAAUGAAUCAGCUUGCCAGUGUUUGGUGGCAUCACGGGUGUGAUAACUAUCUACGCUUGUGGUUUCCCACCAGGUAACCUUCAGUGAUGGAGGUUCGCUGGGGCUCAUAAAUGUCCCUCCACAGUGAGGACAGCUUUUGAACGUUUGAUCUCAUAUCAGGUAGGACUACCCGCUGAACUUAAGCAUAUCAAUAAGCGGAGGA
rnacentral:misc_RNA from 1 species